GCAAUCCCGGAGCCAAUCCCUCGCCCCGUUGCCAUCUCCACCUGAAUGUGACCAGUCUCAUCGCCAGACCCUGAAGAUCUUGAAGGGAGCAAAGGUCUAAGCAUCCUGUUCACUGCAGCAGAGCGUCUGCCCCAAGAAUGAUGUGAGGAGCCCAUAAACAAGCUUUACUUCUCCUGCACCACCGAUGGACAGCAUCGUGGCAGCAUGUACCAAAGUGAAAAAUCCUUACAAUGCUAGGUUUGGAUUAUCCUCCCACUUUAAGUAACUAAAAAUUUGCAAGUGAUGGUCUUCAGAUGCACUACAACAGGCAUGCAGGAUGCUGAUACCUGAGAGAAGGGGGAAAAUGAGGUGAGCACUACAGUUUCCCCCAGCUUACUUCCUGGAGAGGAUUUCCAGGCAUCAGUGCAGGGAGCGGGAUCCCAGACAGAGGCCAGCGUGUGGGUACGAUAGAGAAGAUUGGGCUGGCGCAGACCCCAGACCCUCACCCUGUCUGAGGGGGCAUCCACAAUGCUGCUAUC